GCCGAACGCUGGCGGCGUGCUUAACACAUGCAAGUCGAACGAAGUGGCGAACGGGUGAGUAACGCGUAAUCAACCUGCCCUUCAGAGGGGGACAACAACUGGAAACCACUGCUAAUACCGCAUACUGAAGGAGGGGAUUGCGGCUGAUUAGCUAGUUUGAGGGGUAACGGCCCACCAAGGCGAUGAUCAGUAGCCGGUCUGCGAGGAUGACCGGCCAGCUUGGGACUGAGGCGCGGCCCAGACUACGACGGGAGGCAGCAGUGGGGAAUCUUCCGCAAUGGACGAAAGUCUGACGGAGCAACGCCGCGUGAGUGAUGGCGGCCUUCGGGUUGUAAAGCUCUGUUAAUCGGGACGCGGUACCGGAAUAGAAGGCCACGGCUAACUACGUGCCAGCUGCCGCGGUAAUAC
rnacentral:rRNA from 1 species